rnacentral:rRNA from 1 species
ACGUAGGGGGCAAGCGUUGUUCGGAAUUACUGGGCGUAAAGCGCGUGUAGGCGGCUUGGCAAGUCGGAAGUGAAAGCCCUCGGCUCAACCGGGGAACUGCUUUCGAAACUGCCAGGCUUGAAUGCGGGAUGGGAGAGCGGAAUUCCCGGUGUAGCGGUGAAAUGCGUAGAUAUCGGGAAGAACACCGGUGGCGAAGGCGGCUCUCUGGACCGUGAUUGACGCUGAGACGCGAAAGCGUGGGUAGCAAACAG